rnacentral:rRNA from 1 species
GACGAACGCUGGCGGCGUGCUUAACACAUGCAAGUCGAACGGGAUCCAUCCCAGCUUGCUGGGAGAAGAUCUAGUGGCGAACGGGUGCGUAACACGUGGGCAACCUACCUCGGAGAUCGGGAUAACAGCUGGAAACGGCUGCUAAUACCGGAUAACCCUCCCGGAUCGCAUGGUCCGAGAGGCAAAUGGUCCGCCGCUCCGGGGUGGGCCCGCGGCCUAUCAGCUUGUUGGUGAGGUAACAGCUCACCAAGGCGACGACGGGUAGCCGACCUGGGGGGCUGAUCGGCCACACUGGGACUGAGACACGGCCCAGACUCCUACGGGAGGCAGCAGUGGGGAAUGUUGCGCAAUGGGCGCAAGCCUGACGCAGCAACGCCGCGUGGAGGAUGAGGGUCUUCGGAUUGUAAACUCCUGUCGGGAGGGACGAAGCGAAAGUGACGGUACCUCCAAAGGAAGCCCCGGCUAACUACGUGCCAGCAGCCGCAGUAA